rnacentral:rRNA from 1 species
AACGCUAAUACCGCAUACGUCCUACGGGAGAAAGCAGGGGACCUUCGGGCCUUGCGCUAUCAAAUGAGCCUAGGUCGGAUUAGCUAGUUGGUGAGGUAAUGGCUCACCAAGGCGACGAUCCGUAACUGGUCUGAAAGGAUGAUCAGUCACACUGGAACUGAGACACGGUCCAGACUCCUACGGGAGGCAGCAGUGGGGAAUAUUGGACAAUGGGCGAAAGCCUGAUCCAGCCAUGCCGCGUGUGUGAAGAAGGUCUUCGGAUUGUAAAGCACUUUAAGUUGGGAGGAAGGGCAUUAACCUAAUACGUUAGUGUUUUGACGUUACCGACAGAAUAAGCACCGGCUAACUCUGUGCCAGCAGCCGCGGUAAUACAGAGGGUGCAAGCGUUAAUCGGAAUUACUGGGCGUAAAGCGCGCGUAGGUGGUUCGUUAAGUUGGAUGUGAAAGCCCCGGGCUCAACCUGGGAACUGCAUUCAAAACUGACGAGCUAGAGUAUGGUAGAGGGUGGUGGAAUUU